UACGUAGGGCGCAAGCGUUGUCCGGAAUUAUUGGGCGUAAAGAGCUCGUAGGCGGUCUGUCACGUCGGAUGUGAAAAUCCAGGGCUUAACCCUGGACCUGCAUUCGAUACGGGCAGACUAGAGGUAUGCAGGGGAGAACGGAAUUCCUGGUGUAGCGGUGAAAUGCGCAGAUAUCAGGAGGAACACCGAUGGCGAAGGCAGGUCUCUGGGCCACUACUGACGCUGAGAAGCGAAAGCAUGGGGAGCGAACAGG
rnacentral:rRNA from 1 species